rnacentral:rRNA from 1 species
UACGAAGGGGGCUAGCGUUGCUCGGAAUACUGGGCGUAAAGCGUGCGCAGGCGGUUUUGUAAGUUUGUCGUGAAAUCCCCGGGCUCAACCUGGGAAUGGCGAUGAAGACUGCAAGGCUAGAAUCUGGCAGAGGAAGCUAGAAUUCCCGGUGUAGCGGUGAAAUGCGUAGAUAUCGGGAGGAAUACCUAUGGCGAAAGCAGGCUUCUGGGCCGUCACUGACGCUGAUCUGCGAAAGCUAGGGGAGCAAACAGG